CCUACGGGAGGCAGCAGUGAGGAAUAUUGGUCAAUGGACGAGAGGCUGAACCAGCCAAGUCGCGUGAGGGAAGAAUGUCCUAUGGAUUGUAAACCUCUUUUGUAAGGGAGUAAAGUCACCCACGUGUGGGUGUUGGAGAGUACCAGAAGAAAAAGCAUCGGCUAACUCCGUGCCAGCAGCCGCGGUAAUACGGAGGAUCCGAGCGUUAUCCGGAUUUAUUGGGGUUAAAGGGAGCGUAGGCGGGUUGUCAAGUCAGCCGUGAAAUUCUGGGGCUCAACUGCAAUAAAGCCGUUGAAACUGGUGGUCUUGAGUGGAGGAGAGGUAUGCGGAAUGCGUGGUGUAGCGGUGAAAUGCAUAGAUAUCACGAAGAACUCCGAUUGCGAAGGCAGCAUACUGGAGUCCGACUGACGCUGAAGCACGAAAGCGUGGGUAUCGAACAGGAUUAGAUACCCGUGUAGUC
rnacentral:rRNA from 1 species